rnacentral:rRNA from 1 species
GGUUAAGCGACUAAGCGUACACGGUGGAUGCCCUGGCAGUCAGAGGCGAUGAAGGACGUGCUAAUCUGCGAUAAGCGUCGGUAAGGUGAUAUGAACCGUUAUAACCGGCGAUUUCCGAAUGGGGAAACCCAGUGUGUUUCGACACACUAUCAUUAACUGAAUCCAUAGGUUAAUGAGGCGAACCGGGGGAACUGAAACAUCUAAGUACCCCGAGGAAAAGAAAUCAACCGAGAUUCCCCCAGUAGCGGCGAGCGAACGGGGAGCAGCCCAGAGCCUGAAUCAGUGUGUGUGUUAGUGGAAGCGUCUGGAAAGGCGCGCGAUACAGGGUGACAGCCCCGUACACAAAAAUGCACAUGCUGUGAGCUCGAUGAGUAGGGCGGGACACGUGGUAUCCUGUCUGAAUAUGGGGGGACCAUCCUCCAAGGCUAAAUACUCCUGACUGACCGAUAGUGAACCAGUACCGUGAGGGAAAGGCGAAAAGAACCCCGGCGAGGGGAGUGAAAAAGAACCUGAAACCGUGUACGUACAAGCAGUGGGAGCCUCUUUUAUGGGGUGACUGCGUACCUUUUGUAUAAUGGGUCAGCGACUUAUAUUCUGUAGCAAGGUUAACCGAAUAGGGGAGCCGAAGGGAAACCGAGUCUUAACUGGGCGUUAAGUUGCAGGGUAUAGACCCGAAACCCGGUGAUCUAGCCAUGGGCAGGUUGAAGGUUGGGUAACACUAACUGGAGGACCGAACCGACUAAUGUUGAAAAAUUAGCGGAUGACUUGUGGCUGGGGGUGAAAGGCCAAUCAAACCGGGAGAUAGCUGGUUCUCCCCGAAAGCUAUUUAGGUAGCGCCUCGUGAAUUCAUCUCCGGGGGUAGAGCACUGUUUCGGCAAGGGGGUCAUCCCGACUUACCAACCCGAUGCAAACUGCGAAUACCGGAGAAUGUUAUCACGGGAGACACACGGCGGGUGCUAACGUCCGUCGUGAAGAGGGAAACAACCCAGACCGCCAGCUAAGGUCCCAAAGUCAUGGUUAAGUGGGAAACGAUGUGGGAAGGCCCAGACAGCCAGGAUGUUGGCUUAGAAGCAGCCAUCAUUUAAAGAAAGCGUAAUAGCUCACUGGUCGAGUCGGCCUGCGCGGAAGAUGUAACGGGGCUAAACCAUGCACCGAAGCUGCGGCAGCGACGCUGAUGCGUUGUUGGGUAGGGGAGCGUUCUGUAAGCCUGUGAAGGUGUGCUGUGAGGCAUGCUGGAGGUAUCAGAAGUGCGAAUGCUGACAUAAGUAACGAUAAAGCGGGUGAAAAGCCCGCUCGCCGGAAGACCAAGGGUUCCUGUCCAACGUUAAUCGGGGCAGGGUGAGUCGACCCCUAAGGCGAGGCCGAAAGGCGUAGUCGAUGGGAAACAGGUUAAUAUUCCUGUACUUGGUGUUACUGCGAAGGGGGGACGGAGAAGGCUAUGUUGGCCGGGCGACGGUUGUCCCGGUUUAAGCGUGUAGGCUGGUUUUCCAGGCAAAUCCGGAAAAUCAAGGCUGAGGCGUGAUGACGAGGCACUACGGUGCUGAAGCAACAAAUGCCCUGCUUCCAGGAAAAGCCUCUAAGCAUCAGGUAACAUCAAAUCGUACCCCAAACCGACACAGGUGGUCAGGUAGAGAAUACCAAGGCGCUUGAGAGAACUCGGGUGAAGGAACUAGGCAAAAUGGUGCCGUAACUUCGGGAGAAGGCACGCUGAUAUGUAGGUGAAGUCCCUUGCGGAUGGAGCUGAAAUCAGUCGAAGAUACCAGCUGGCUGCAACUGUUUAUUAAAAACACAGCACUGUGCAAACACGAAAGUGGACGUAUACGGUGUGACGCCUGCCCGGUGCCGGAAGGUUAAUUGAUGGGGUCAGCGCAAGCGAAGCUCUUGAUCGAAGCCCCGGUAAACGGCGGCCGUAACUAUAACGGUCCUAAGGUAGCGAAAUUCCUUGUCGGGUAAGUUCCGACCUGCACGAAUGGCGUAAUGAUGGCCAGGCUGUCUCCACCCGAGACUCAGUGAAAUUGAACUCGCUGUGAAGAUGCAGUGUACCCGCGGCAAGACGGAAAGACCCCGUGAACCUUUACUAUAGCUUGACACUGAACAUUGAGCCUUGAUGUGUAGGAUAGGUGGGAGGCUUAGAAGUGUGGACGCCAGUCUGCAUGGAGCCGACCUUGAAAUACCACCCUUUAAUGUUUGAUGUUCUAACGUUGACCCGUAAUCCGGGUUGCGGACAGUGUCUGGUGGGUAGUUUGACUGGGGCGGUCUCCUCCUAAAGAGUAACGGAGGAGCACGAAGGUUGGCUAAUCCUGGUCGGACAUCAGGAGGUUAGUGCAAUGGCAUAAGCCAGCUUGACUGCGAGCGUGACGGCGCGAGCAGGUGCGAAAGCAGGUCAUAGUGAUCCGGUGGUUCUGAAUGGAAGGGCCAUCGCUCAACGGAUAAAAGGUACUCCGGGGAUAACAGGCUGAUACCGCCCAAGAGUUCAUAUCGACGGCGGUGUUUGGCACCUCGAUGUCGGCUCAUCACAUCCUGGGGCUGAAGUAGGUCCCAAGGGUAUGGCUGUUCGCCAUUUAAAGUGGUACGCGAGCUGGGUUUAGAACGUCGUGAGACAGUUCGGUCCCUAUCUGCCGUGGGCGCUGGAGAACUGAGGGGGGCUGCUCCUAGUACGAGAGGACCGGAGUGGACGCAUCACUGGUGUUCGGGUUGUCAUGCCAAUGGCACUGCCCGGUAGCUAAAUGCGGAAGAGAUAAGUGCUGAAAGCAUCUAAGCACGAAACUUGCCCCGAGAUGAGUUCUCCCUGACCCUUUAAGGGUCCUGAAGGAACGUUGAAGACGACGACGUUGAUAGGCCGGGUGUGUAAGCGCAGCGAUGCGUUGAGCUAACCGGUACUAAUGAACCGUGAGGCUUAACCUU